rnacentral:rRNA from 1 species
UUACCGAGGUGCCGAAGGGAAACCGUGAAACGUGCCGCCUGGGAAGUACGGUCGCAAGGCUGAAACUUAAAGGAAUUGGCGGGGGAGCACCACAACAGGUGGAGCCUGCGGUUUAAUUGGACUCAACGCCGGGAAGCUCACCGGAUAGGACAGCAGAAUGAUUGCCGGGCUGAAGACCCUGCAUGACUAGCUGAAAGGAGGUGCAUGGCA